rnacentral:rRNA from 1 species
UACGGAGGGUGCAAGCGUUAUCCGGAUUCACUGGGUUUAAAGGGUGCGUAGGAGGGCAGGUAAGUCAGUGGUGAAAUCUCCGAGCUUAACUCGGAAACUGCCGUUGAUACUAUCUGUCUUGAAUAUUGUGGAGGUGAGCGGAAUAUGUCAUGUAGCGGUGAAAUGCUUAGAUAUGACAUAGAACACCAAUUGCGAAGGCAGCUCGCUACACAUAUAUUGACUCUGAGGCACGAAAGCGUGGGGAUCAAACAGG